CGGUGAGGCAGCCUAGCGGUGAGGUAGCCUAGCGGUGAGGUAGCCUAGCGGUGAGGUAGCCUAGCGGUGAGGCAGCCCAGCGGUGAGGUAGCCCAGCGGUGAGGUAGCCUAGCGGUGAGGUAGCCUAGCGGUGAGGCAGCCCAGCGGUGAG